CGCACAUAAGACAUGCAAGUCGAACGGAAGUCGUACUAAUUGAAGUGGAUUGAAGAUUUAUUGGAUUGAAGCAGAUUUUAAUACAAUGGCUUUAGUGGCGGACUGGUGAGUAACACGUAAGCAACCUGCCUAUUAGAGGGGAAUAACAAUGAGAAAUCAUUGCUAAUACCGCAUAAGCUUGUAGGACCGCAUGGUCUAGCAAGAAAAGGAGCAAUCCGCUAAUAGAUGGGCUUGCGGCUGAUUAGCUAGUUGGUUAGGUAACGGCUGACCAAGGCAACGAUCAGUAGCCGGGCUGAGAGGCUCUGCGGCCACAUUGGGACUGAGAUACGGCCCAGACUCCUACGGGAGGCAGCAGUCGGGAAUAUUGCGCAAUGGAGGAAACUCUGACGCAGUGACGCCGCGUAUAGGAAGAAGGUUUUAGGAUUGUAAACUAUUUUAGACAGGGAAGAAAUUUGACAGUACCUGUAGAAUAAGCUCCGGCUAACUACGUGCC
rnacentral:rRNA from 1 species